CCCGAUUUUCGUUUUGCGUAAUUCUUUCACUAUUGUAAUUACUAUUCCCUUCUCUACAGGUUGAUCGAAGUAAAACACCCAACCGCAAAGGUGAACCGAGGCAGCCGCCGCAUUGAAGAACCCAGCCGCCGGUAAGUUUUGUUUUUCAUUUUUUUUUGGCCCAACUGAUGUCCCUUAAUGUACUUUCUUGCAGGGAUUGAUGCAAAACUAGCCAAAUUAGGCCGAAAACGGAU
rnacentral:lncRNA from 1 species